rnacentral:rRNA from 1 species
ACGAACGCUGGCGGCGUGCCUAAUACCUGCAAGUAGAACGCUGAAGGAGGAGCUUGCUUCUCUGGAUGAGUUGCGAACGGGUGAGUAACGCGUAGGUAACCUGCCUGGUAGCGGGGGAUAACUAUUGGAAACGAUAGCUAAUACCGCAUAACAGUAGAUAUCGCAUGAUAUCUACUUGAAAGGUGCAAUUGCAUCACUACCAGAUGGACCUGCGUUGUAUUAGCUAGUUGGUUAGGUAACGGCUCACCAAGGCGACGAUACAUAGCCGACCUGAGAGGGUGAUCGGCCACACUGGGACUGAGACACGGCCCAGACUCCUACGGGAGGCAGCAGUAGGGAAUCUUCGGCAAUGGACGGAAGUCUGACCGAGCAACGCCGCGUGAGUGAAGAAGGUUGUCGGAUCGUAAAGCUCUGUUGUAAGAGAAGAACGAGUGUGAGAGUGGAAAGUUCACACUGUGACGGUAUCUUACCAGAAAGGGACGGCUAACUACGUG